CUUGAAUCCUUUAGGCCUCCCAAACUCUUAUCCAAAUCCAAAAUGACCUGCCAGAACUCACUCCAUACAAUAAAGCCUGUACCACAAAGGUGAUCAAGUUUCUCAGGAGGAAGUCUGAUGCUGGUUUCCCUGAGGACUUGCUGGAAGCCUUCCACACUAAUAAAGCCACCCCCACCACUCUGGUCUUGUGCAUCAAAAGCUUUCCGAAU
rnacentral:misc_RNA from 1 species